rnacentral:rRNA from 1 species
GAUGAACGCUAGCUACAGGCUUAACACAUGCGAGUCGCGGGGCAGCAUGGGGGUUGCUUGCAUUCCCCGAUGGCGACCGGCGCACGGGUGAGUAACGCGUAUCCAACCUGCCCUUCACCACGGGAUAACCCGGCGAAAGUCGGACUAAUACCGUAUGUUGUCCAUUGACGGCAUCCGAUUUGGACGAAAGGUCUGGCGGUGAAGGAUGGGGAUGCGUCCGAUUAGCUGGACGGCGGGGUGACGUCCCAGCGUGGCGACGAUCUGUAGGGGUUCUGAGAGGAAGGUCCCCCACACUGGAACUGAGACACGGUCCAGACUCCUACGGGAGGCAGCAGUGAGGAAUAUUGGUCGAUGGGCGGAAGCCUGAACCAGCCAAGUAGCGUGCAGGAUGACGGCCGUAUGGGUUGUAAACUGCUUUUAUGCGGGGAUAAAGUGGCCCACGUGUGGGUUUUUGCAGGUACCGCAUGAAUAAGGACCGGCUAAUUCCGUG